GGCCCGAUGGGAGAUGGCAUGCCUCCCGUUGCGGGCGCGCGACGCGUCCGCAACCAACCACCCCGGGUGCUUCCGCCACGAGGUUGAUGAUGCCUGCAACGCC
rnacentral:ncRNA from 1 species